UACAGAGGGUGCGAGCGUAAUCGGAAUUACUGGGCGUAAAGCGUGCGUAGACGGUAGCGUAAGUCAGAUGUGAAAGCCCCGGGCUCAACCUGGGAACUGCAUUUGUGACUGCAUGGCUAGAGUUUGGCAGAGGGGGGUAGAAUUCCACGUGUAGCAGUGAAAUGCGUAGAUAUGUGGAGGAACACCGAUGGCGAAGGCAGCCCCCUGGGUCAAGACUGACGCUCAUGCACGAAAGCGUGGGGAGCAAACAGG
rnacentral:rRNA from 1 species